rnacentral:lncRNA from 1 species
CCUACCCAGCUACCAUAUCAAAAUCAGCCAUCAUACCCAUCUCCUCAACAGACUAAUCUAGUCAAUGAUAGAUUUAAUCAUCUUCAACAAUUGAUUAUUAUCCAACAAUAAUUUAUCGCUAGGUUAGAAGCACAAAUAGGAUAGUUAGCUGAAUCUACCAUGAGAAGAGAACUAAGUCAAUUGCCAAGCCAACCAGUAUCAAAUCUCAGAAACAACCAAUCCACCCCCCA